CGCCUUGUGCCUGAAAGGGCGACGGCGCGAGUCGGAGCGAGAAGUCAGCAGAGGCCGUAGUAGUCUUUUUUUUUUUGACGAAGGGC
rnacentral:ncRNA from 1 species